rnacentral:rRNA from 1 species
GAUGAACGCUAGCUACAGGCUUAACACAUGCAAGUCGAGGGACCGGCGCACGGGUGAGUAACACGUAUCCACCCUGCCCUUUACUCGGGGAUAGCCUUUCGAAAGAAAGAUUAAUACCCGAUAUAAAGGAUGGGGAGGCGUUCCAUUAGGUUGUUGGUGAGGUAACGGCCCACCAAGCCUUCGAUGGGUGGGGGUUCUGAGAGGAAGGUCCCCCGCAUUGGAGCUGAGACCCGGUCCAAACUCGUACGGGAGGCAGCGGUGAGGAAUAUUGGGCAAUGGGCGUUAGCCUGAACCAGCCGAGUAGCGUGAAGGAUGAAGGCUUAUGGGUCGUAAACUUCUUGUAUAUAAGAAUAUGUAUUAUAUGAAUAAGGAUCGGCUAACUCCGUGCCAGCAGCCGCGGUAAUAC